rnacentral:rRNA from 1 species
CCUACGGGAGACAGCAGUGGGGAAUAUUGGGCAAUGGGCGCAAGCCUGACCCAGCAACGCCGCGUGAGGGAAGAAGGCUUUCGGGUUGUAAACUUCUUUUGACAGGGAAGAGCAGAAGACGGUACCUGUCGAAUAAGCCACGGCUAACUACGUGCCAGCAGCCGGGGUAAAACGUAGGUGGCAAGCGUUGUCCGGAUUUACUGGGGGUAAAGGGCGUGUAGCCGGGCUGACAAGUCAGAAGUGAAAGCCGGGGGCUCAACCCCCGAACUGCAUUUGAAACUGUUGGUCUUGAGUAUCGGAGAGGCAGGCGGAAUUCCUAGUGUAGCGGUGAAAUGCGUAGAUAUCUGGAGGAACAUCAGUGGCGAAGGCGACUAUCUGGCACAUAACUGACGCUGAGGAGCGAAAGCGUGGGUAGCAAACAGGAUUAGAUACCCCAGUAGUC